rfam:Colinus virginianus strain Texas jcf7180006227155, whole genome shotgun sequence.
UGUAAUGGGUAAAGGCUUGCACCGAGAGGACAAUGGCAUGUUUAGGCAUAGACGGGGCUUUCGGGAUGUACGCGGUUAAGAGUCCUCUCAGG